GAAUGUAGGCUGCAACUCGCCAACAUGAAGCCGGAAUCGCAAGAAAUCGUGGAUCAGCAUGCCACGGAGAAUACGAUCCCGGGCCUUGUACACACCGCCCGACACACCACGAGAGUUAGAAACACCCGAAGUCGGUAGGGUAACCAAUAAGGAGCCAGCCGCCGAAGGUGGGACAGAUAAUAGGGGAGAAGACGUAACAAGGUAGCCGUAUCGGUAGGUGCGGCAGGAUC
rnacentral:rRNA from 1 species